UACAGAGGUGGCAAGCGUUGUUCGGAAUUACUGGGCGUAAAGCGCACGUAGGCGGCUCUUUAAGUCGGGGGUGAAAUCCUGGAGCUCAACUCCAGAACUGCCUUCGAUACUGAAGAGCUCGAGUCCGGGAGAGGUGAGUGGAACUGCGAGUGUAGAGGUGAAAUUCGUAGAUAUUCGCAAGAACACCAGUGGCGAAGGCGGCUCACUGGCCCGGUACUGACGCUGAGGUGCGAAAGCGUGGGGAGCAAACAGG
rnacentral:rRNA from 1 species